AUUGAACGCUGGCGGUAUGCUUAACACAUGCAAGUCGAACGGUAACAGGCCUUCGGGCGCUGACGAGUGGCGGACGGGUGAGUAACGCGUAGGAAUCUGCCUCAUAGUGGGGGACAACGUGGGGAAACUCACGCUAAUACCGCAUACGCCCUACGGGGGAAAGCGGGGGAUCUUCGGACCUCGCGCUAUGAGAUGAGCCUGCGUUGGAUUAGCUAGGUGGUAGGGUAAAGGCCUACCAAGGCGACGAUCUAUAGCUGGUCUGAGAGGACGAUCAGCCACACUGGGACUGAGACACGGCCCAGACUCCUACGGGAGGCAGCAGUGGGGAAUAUUGGACAAUGGGCGCAAGCCUGAUCCAGCAAUACCGCGUGUGUGAAGAAGGCCCUAGGGUUGUAAAGCACUUUCAAUUGGGGGGAAAACCUGCCGGUCAAUACCCGGCAGCUUGACAUUACCUUUAGAAGAAGCACCGGCUAACUCCGUGCCAGCAGCCGCCGUAAGAC
rnacentral:rRNA from 1 species